AUGACGUUGGAGCUGUCGUCAAAGUAGAGCACGGAGAUGGCAUGGAGCUGCGUGGGAGCACAACAUGGCUUAGGCACUGUGUCCGGAUUGAUAAAAUGAACCUGGAAAACAGAGGAAGGCGGGCCAGCUGAAGACCCAGGUUGCGCCCCGGGUUCAGGACCCAGUGGUUACUUGUAGCUGUGAUGUCGAACACGAGCCAGCCCUCCUCUGCUGCCCAGAUCACCCGAGAGUCCAGCAGGAACAGGUCCGACUCUCUAAGAAGCACACAGGAGGGAAAUGGUUACAAAUUUACAGAACUAAAAAUGUAUAGAUUAUUUUUUUAAUUGGAUUACUACUGUUUUUAAAAAGUCAUCUAUAGUCACAAUUUUGACUUCCCAAUAUUUCCUUAAUAUGUAUAUAGAUAUAUUUAUAUUAUGUAUGGACAGGCCAAGUCUCAUGGGAAAGCUCAAAGCCUCCAGAAUUAUUUCAUUGAGUUGCAGAGGCUGCACUAGCACUGAUUCAUGAUUGGCUGCAGAUGUUUGGUUUUAGGUAGAGAGGAAUCAGAAGAGAAAGGGUUCUUUUAGAUUCAAACCAACUGGAUUUCAGCACUGAAACUGGCAACCCAAAUGAGAGACUUUUGCUUUCUGUUUGGACAAUCAUCAAGAGAACCAAAACACUAAAUUAUAACAUAAACUUGGCCACCAUGUCCAGUGUUUUAGAAUGAAGAAUAAAUCAGCAUUUCUCUGUGUUAAAGCAUGCAACCCACUGUCCCUCAACAAAUCUCUCCCAUGGCAUUGCUACUAAUAAGACUAACUAUAUCUGAACAUGUCCACCUUGUUUAUGGGGACACAGUUAGGUCAUGUUUAUGAAAUUUAAAAACUAAAUCUUAUGCAUGACUACAAAAGUCAGUCUGCACUUCAGUGUAAAGCCAAGUGACCGGAACUGAAGAGGCAGAGCUCGGUGGUCAGAGGAGUGUGACGAGCGAAACAGUGGAAGAGAUAGAGCAGAGCGCGAGAGGAUGGAGGGGAGAGGGAGGGGGGUGAAAGAGCUCCAGAUGGUGAGGCCCAGGAGAGCACUUCAUUUUCUUAAUUGACAAUAAUGGCUUUAUAAACGUUUAGUCCUUUCAUACAACACACACUGUCCAUUAUUUACUAGACUUGGAUGGAGAGCAAUAAAAUUACUAGGUUUGAGACAAUGUUGAUAUUGUAUGCCACAAUUAAAAAUUAUUUUAAUUGUU